rnacentral:rRNA from 1 species
UAACCUGGUUGAUCCUGCCAGUUGAUCAUAUUCUUAGAUCAAAGACUAAGCCAUGCAUGUCCAAGACUAAACAAGUUGUCAGUGAAUCUGCGUAUGGCUCAAUAAACGAACCAUCACCACCCCGAGGACAAAGUACAACUGGAUAACCGUUGUAAUUCAAGGGCUAAUCAUGCGUCAAUAGGGGCUUCGCAAG